rnacentral:lncRNA from 1 species
UAUUAAGUCAGUAUUACAUGGAUUGGACUGGACAGGCAGGUGCAUCAGUUUCUGCCAAGAAUGAAAAUGAAAACACAUUUCAAAGAAUAUGAGGUUGUACGUGAACAAGUAGCCCGAAACCGAAUCCUUCUCCUAUUUGGGGAAAGAAACUCCACACCCAGGAGAAUACAAGUACCAAAGAUAUCUCUGUGUGGCAGCUCAUGAGUGCAACAACAACAACAACAACAACAAAAAGUGGCUGCACGGGUUCUGGAGCCCACACCCCUGAGGUGUGUCCUGCUGGGUACUUCUGUCUGCCCGGUACCACCUUCAGUACAGAGCACCCGUGUCCGAAGGGUACCUUUGGCCCCAGGACUGGUGUCACUAGCCAGGCUGACUGUGAGCCCUGCCCAGCAGGCAUGUAUUGCUCAGCACCUGGCCUAUCCCAGCCUUCUGGAUUUUGCUAUCCGGGUUAUCACUGUGCCAAGGGAGCCAUCAGCC